rnacentral:rRNA from 1 species
AUUGAACGCUGGCGGCGUGCCUAACACAUGCAAGUCGAGCGGUAACAGGUGUAGCAAUACAUGCUGACGAGCGGCGGACGGGUGAGUAACGCUUGGGAAUCUGCCUAUUAGUGGGGGACAACCCGGGGAAACUCGGGCUAAUACCGCAUACGCUCUACGGGGAAAGCCGGGACCGCAAGGCCUGGCGCUAAUAGAUGAGCCCAAGUCGGAUUAGCUAGUUGGUAGGGUAACGGCCUACCAAGGCUACGAUCCGUAACUGGUCUGAGAGGACGACCAGUCACACCGGAACUGAGACACGGUCCGGACUCCUACGGGAGGCAGCAGGUGGGGAAUAUUGGACAAGUGGGGGAAACCCUGAUCCAGCGACGCCGCGUGGGUGAAGAAGGCCUGCGGGUU